ACGUAGGGUGCGAGCGUUAAUCGGAAUUAUUGGGCGUAAAGCGCGCGCAGGCGGCUUAUUAAGUCUGAUGUGAAAGCCCACGGCUCAACCUGGGAAUGGCAUUGGAAACUGGCGGGCUUGAGUGUGGCAGAGGGGGGUGGAAUUCCGCGUGUAGCAGUGAAAUGCGUAGAGAUGCGGAGGAACACCGAUGGCGAAGGCAGCCCCCUGGGCUGACACUGA
rnacentral:rRNA from 1 species